GUCAUGCCGCGGAUACCUCCGCAAUGCUCCGCCGGCGGCGCCGCCUCCCCGUCUUCCGGAUUGCAAGUCCGAUUCCUCCGGAGAAGCAGAUCGAACUAUUUUCUUGAUUUGUUUUUUUUCUUUUGGCUAAUUUGGUCGAUCAAGUUUGGAGUUUGUGCGGAUGUGGAGGUCGAUAAGAUGGCUCCGUUAGGGAAAUCAAGGACGCUGUCGAGGAUCUCUUCGGCCAGUUCUCCGAGGAUGGAAGCGACGCCAUUCCCUGCUCCAUUUUAUCACGCACGUUUCUCCUAAUCAAGAAUCAACAAAAAAAAAAAGGAGAAAUAGGAGAUCAGCAACGAACCAACACAGGAUCUGAGGUUCUACAAACUAUAUUAUCGUUUUUCACGAGCUGGUUCAAAAGAACAUGUUUAGUUGAGAAGCACAAGAAUGGAGAUUGUGGCAGAGUUGAUUCUAGUCUAUCUGUAAGUUAGCACAAUCACGAUUCUGAAAAUGAACUAUUGCUUCCUAUAUAAUUGAAAAAAAA